rnacentral:piRNA from 1 species
UGUGACGGUUUAGCAUUUUCUUUGAAGUA